GUUGUAGGUUUUGGUGUUUGGAGUCGUGUUUCGGGAGUUUGAUCUUUUCAGUUCUGUUCGACGUUAUGAGGUGAGUUUUCCUCACUAUAAUCAAGGGUCAAAGGCACUAAGGUCGGCCCUUCGGAUUGUUAUCCUACUUUAUUGUUAGUAUGAUAUGUUAGAUCUGUAUCCUGGUAGAUAGGGUGGUUCUAUGUGGUUAUGAUCAGUUAUAUUGGUAUCCUGGUAGAUAGGAUGUUGCUAUGCUUAGUGAUAUGUAGAUCGGUUUGUCUGUCUGUAGACUGUUAUAUGAUUAUAUGAUAUAUGUACACAUGAUUGAUUGGUGGUUGAGGCUUAUCUGCUUUGUACGAGAGCUAAAAGACCAGGGCAUUCCUGGCCGAUGGUUGUGGGCCGAGAGUAUUCCAUCCCGAGGAUAAUUGGACUCAUUGUAACACCCCGAGUUCAGAAGUGCAAGUUCCAGGUUCUUAGUGUAAAUAAGGAAGGUUGACUCGGCGAGCCGAUGGAUAGACUCGGCGAGUCAAGUCGGGAUUCUGGUCACGCGUUAAGUGACCAACUCGGCGAGUCGGCCGCUGGACUCGGCGAGUUGGUGCUGGAUUGAGAAAAACCCUAAUCCGGGGUUUGUGCCCUAUAUAAAGAACAUAAUACCUUUCCUUCAGCAUCUUUACCCUUCCUUUGAGUCCCAGAAACCCUAAUAGUCGUGAGUGGAAGCUUGGAUAAGUGAUUUAAGAAGGAAAUCUUGAAGACUAAGUAGCUUGGAUUAAGGAGGCUUGAGGAGAUGUGGUUUACUCUUCAGUUGGAGGUUGUUUUCAGGUAAGGAUUCGUCAUCUUGGCUUUAUUCCUUCUAGAUCCACCUUUUUGGAGCUUUAGGGUUGUUUGGAAGAAUUUAUGUUGAGAUGUUGAUGCACAAGUUAGAUCUAGAGUUGAAACUCCACAUCUGAGUUCCAUAUGGAUUCUAUGUGAAGAAAGCCCUUUGAUUAGCCAUGCAAAAGCCAGCCCUAAUGAGUUAAGUUCCAUUUUAGCUUGGUUUUUGAUGAAUGGGUCAUGGAAGCACGUAAAGGUAGCAACUUUAUGUUGCUAAUGGACCAUAGGGACCCUGAUCUAGUGUUUGGAGUAAGGGAGCGGCUCUGUGACUCGAGAUUAUGGAACUUCACGUUGGACUCGACGAGUCUGGGAGAUGACUCAGCGAGUCGGACUAGAGAUUAGGCAUGAGUCGCGUAGUAACUCGGCGAGUCACAUGGGUGUACUCGACGAGUUGCAUGAAGAUAGGAAGGAACUCGACGAGUUGGAAGAACAACUCGGCGAGUCUGUUGAAGAUUGCCUUGGGCUCGGCGAGUCUGUUCUUGGACUCGAUGAGUCUGGUCAUGGAACCCUAACCUUUUCUGGUUAAGUCGUGAAUCGGUGAGUCGAGGGAUGACUCGGUGAGUUGAGCAUGAAGGGACUCAGAGUUUGUUGGACUCGGCGAGUCUUGGGGCGACUCGGCGAGUUGAGUCGUGGUUUAGGAGUCUCUGAGUAUAGGGACUCGACGAGUUAACGGGUUGGCUCGGCAAGUAGAGUCAGCCAGGAAGUUUGACUUUGACUGAGGACUUUGACUUGGACCAAGAGUUGACCAGUCGACUUCCAGGAGUAUUUUUAGUAAUUGUUGGCAUUCUUUGAGUUCAGUGAUUUGGUGUUGACUAGUGGGGGAGUUCGUGACGGUGAUUGGAGCAGCGUGAUUUUAGUUCUUCAGCCGGCAGUUACAGGUGAGUUAUCCUCACUAUAUCGACAGGGUCUACGGCAACAAGGCCGACCCUUUUAUCGGAUGGAAAUUCGGGUAGUUGUUGUUAUGUUAUUGCUUUGUUAUGUGGUUGCAUCCUGGUAGUUAGGAGGGUUUAUGUUAGAGACGUGGUUAGGGUCGGUAUCCUGGUUUAUAGGAUGAUACUAUGCUAGUGACCAGUUAGGUCGGUAUCCUGGUAGGGAUGUGCUAUGUAUGUGCUCUGCUAGAUUGGUUGAUUAGUUGUGAAUUGCUAUAUGAUUAUAUGUUUAUGUGCACAUGGUUGUUAGACUGGGGUUGGGUUGAGGCGGGUCCUGCUUUGUGCUGUAGGCCAACAUACCCAGGGUGAACCGGCUAUUCCGAAGGCCCAGCGAGCGGUCCGGAUAGGUUGUAGGCCCCAAGAGGGCGGACCAGAUGUGCCGAGGUUCGGAGAGUGGAUUAGGCCUACUGAAGGCCCGGAGCGGGCGGACCAGUCACACUGUAGACUUAGAGAGUGAACCAGGUGGAUUGAAGGCCCAAUGUGCGCGGACCAAUCACACUGUAGACUCGAUGUAUACGGCUAGACCCGGAGGGUGGACCAGGUGGAUUGUAGGCCCAAUGCGGUGGACCAGUCACAUAGUAGACCCAAAGGGCUGUUCUGUUCUGUUUAUGAUAUGAUAUGUGUACAGUAUUGUGGUUGGUAUUUUGGGGGUAUCUCACUAAGCUUUCGGGAUUACAGUUGUGGUUUAAUGUUUCAGGUACUUCAGGAGACCGUGGCAAGGCAAAGGCGUGAUCAUACCGCUCCUCAUGUUUUUGUUUUACGAUAUGGUUCUGGGAAUACUCUGAUAAUAAACAUCUUGAAACCUUUUUAUAAUAACUUAAUGAAAUUGGGUUGUUUUUGAAAAGUUUAAAUUGGUUGAAAAUUUUAGAGCGUUACAAGUUGGUAUCAGAGCCUUGGUUUGAGUGAAUUGGAGGAAAAUUUGUGUGAAUCCAGUCUCAAAUCAAGGAGAGUUUUCAAAAGAGAAUUUAAAAUGGUUUUCAAAAAUGAGUAAAGGAGGACGCGGAGGUACGAUCAGCCGGAGCCAGUAAGUAACCCCAAAAUACCAUACAAGUUAUUUGUUUUUGAAAUAUGAUAGAACAACAUGCUAGUACUAGGCUAGGGAUCUUCAGGAAUUGUAUGAUAGAGUUGCCUGAUUUAUGAUGCCUGCUAGCCUAGGAUUCCUUUAUGUAUGAGAUUUUUAGUGUUCCUCUAGGGGUGGUGGUUGAUUGCUUGUUAUGUAUUCUCUUCACUAGGGUGUUGUGGUGAUACUUGAUAUAAAUAUAGGUAGGUGUGGAAGGUAGUAUGGGCCCGUACUACUGAAAGCACAGGACCCAUACGCGCAUCAAGGAAGUCACAACCCCUAGGGUUGGGUUGGGAGUUGGUUCCCGGGUUAGUGGGAAGUAUCUGAUGUUUUGCGGUGAUUUCAGUAUGGUGGUUACAAGGCAUGCUAGGAGUGGAUCCGGAUCAGGAUCGGGAGCAGGAGAGGGCGGUCAGGGUGGUUCAGUACUACCCGAGGUUAUUGGUCAGAUGAGCACAGGCGAGUUGGAUGCUAGGAUUUGUGAGAUCCUGCAUGAUGAGGUUGCUGCUAUGUUCCGGGCCGAGUUGCCUGAACUGUUUGGGUCGAUCAAGACCGCCAUGGUCGAGUAUUUUGAUGAGCGCUAUGCGGCUCUAGCAGAGACAACAGCCGCGGCAACCGCAACGGCUGUGGCAGCGGCAGGUGGAGGAGCUGGUCGGGGUUUUUAGUAUCAGGACUUCGAUAAUAUGAAGCCCCUACUUUUGAUGAAGUUCAGGAUCCGAUCGUUGCUAUGAGAUGGUUGUUGGACAUGGAGGGGUGUNCCCUGCUGAUCAGAGGGUGAGGUUUGGUCUUAACCUGUUAAGGCUUGGGGCGAAGGAUUGGUGGAGGUUGACUGCGGGGUCUUAUUCUGAUGUGCAACGGACUGCGGUUACUUGGGAUCAGUUCCGAGACAUGUUCAGUACUCGUUAUGUUCCGCGGGUGGAGCGGGAGAGAUUGGAUCAGGAGUUUUUGGAGCUGAAGUAGGGUUCUGAGUCGGUGAUGGAGAUCACCAAGAUGUUCACAUAGAGGGAGAUGUUUUGCCCUGCAUUUGCUUCGGAGCAGGCUCAGAUGACCCAAUAUCUGAGUAUGCUCAAGAGGAAUAUUAGACAGUUUGUGUCUACACAGAGAUGUGAUACCUUGUUAGAGUUGCAGGAGGCCGCCAGGCGACGUGAGUUGGAGAUUGAGUUGCAGUUGCGAGAGCAGAGGCAGGCCCCAGUGCAGUCGCAACCGGCGCCGAAACGGUCCAAGACCGUUGAUUCUAGGUUUGGAGAUCAGGGCAGCCGCACCUGUGGGAAGUGUGGGAAGGGUCACACCAAAGUUUGUUGGUCCGGUGGUGCGUGCCGCAAGUGCUAGAGAGAGGGGCAUUAUGCGAGGGAUUGUCGUCAGUCGGCCCCGGUUCAGGAUAUGAGAAUUUGUUACCAGUGUCACCAGGUUGGUCACAUGAGGGCCAACUGUCCACAGCUUGCUGCAGGACCAGUGCAGGCUCCAGCACGGGCCACUUUGAGGAUUACAGGUGGAGGUCAGGGUGGAGCGGAGCCCCCGAGGGCUCAGGGGCGCGCUUUUCAGCUUACAGCAGAGGAGGUCAGGGCAGAGCCGGAUGCAUUUGCGGGUAUGUUUUCGUUUCGUUGCUGUUUGCGUAUCUUGUUGUUUAUGUGGUGCUGUGUUUUAUUUCGCCGUUCUGCGUGUUUCCUGGUUUGGUUGGGAGUGUUAGUAACUAGGAGUGUAGGAGGUUAGCAUCCAAAGGAUUGAUGGUCAGGAUUCGGUUGUAUGGUCUUAUUGUCGGGUAUAGCAAUUGGGAUAUGAGAAGUGUUCAGCAGGGAGUCGAACUCCCUUAAAGUUUGUGAGGUGCGAUGCUGGAAAACGAUUUUGUGGAGAUUGCUCGUUUCAGAGGAAACUAGUUCGUGGAUACCAGGAGUAUGUUGAGUAAGGAUUAUUGUUUUAUGCCAGUUAAGUCACCGGUGGUUGGAAGUCAGUGUUCUAAGUGGGGAGAAUUGAAAAUUUCUCUGGAGGAUUGACAAGCAUUAGAGAUUGAUUAGCCGUUGAGAUUCGACGGUGUUUCAGUCAGCCAAGAGUGUGGGCUGGUAUGAGUAAGUGACAGACAAGUGGGGUUAGGGAGCAGACCAUGGUUUCAGGAAAGGUAGUGGUUGAUAUGAGGCUUGGGUUUAGGCCAUGGAAAGGAUUCCGGGAUCGGAACGAGAGUUCAGAACCCCCUGGAAGGCUAGAAUAGUAUGUACGGAAGAGAUUCCUGGGAAGGAUAGUUCGGGAUGAUGUGUGAUAGUCUGAGCGGUCCGGGGAGACUGAAGGCCGGUGGGCGUACCAGUCAGGCCCAAGGCUCGAAGAACGGUCCAGACAGGCUGAAGGCCCUGGAGGGCGGUCCAGACAUGCUGAAGGUUCUGAGAGUGGUACAGAUUGACUGAAGGCCUGGUAAGGUGGUCCAGUCAUGCUGAAGACUUUGUAUGUGUUAAUAGAUCUAUAUGAAGAGAUGGCUUGAGUAUGUUGUAAUGCAAUUGCAACCAGUGGGUCUAGCCCCGGGUAUUGAUUAUAUUAGUGAAAGGUGGGGUAUGGACUUCGAUGGUCCUUGUAAUCAAAUUCAGAGUAUAUGUGAUGCAUGGAAUAGCGGUUACUCUACAAGGGAUAGUGUAGAGUGGGGUGUGAGCACCGUGGCACUUGUUGUUAUGGCAAGGUCGUCGAGUAGGUUUCCUUGGAUAAGAACAGGAAAGGGUAUGUAGCUCCGAGAAGGAGUGUUGAUUCACUGCAGUGGGAACGGUAGUGUGGAUGGAUGAUUGAAAGUAUUUCAAUUAGGGAUGUUGAGCACUGUGAUUAUGCCAGUAGUAUGGAAGCACAUCCAGAUGGGAUGUCUGUUGAGGUUGCGGAAGAAUUUCCGGUGGUGUAGAACCAGAGGAGUUCGGAAGGGAUGCAAGGAUGGAGCUUUGGAUUUUCGGUAUGGUUGUGACCAUGAGUUGUGUAUAUAGUGGUAAUUCAUAUUGGGGAUGAUUAGUGGUAUCGUCAGUGUGUCGGGUUUUUCCAACCCGAGGAUGUAGACCAGGCCCAUUGCGGAGGAGAGCUCCUGGGAGUUACUCGGGAGCUGAAGGGGGUGUCAUCCUGCCAGCACGAAAAGAAAAGAGUUUGGAUUUACUGGAAAGGAAAAGGGUAUGUAGUUCCGGAAGGAGCGAGGGUCCUCUGUGAGGAAAGGAAGUGGAGUAAAUGGGUGACCGACAUGCUUCAGAUAUUGAUAGAAAGUAUAGAGCUUGUACCAGAUAUAUGGGAGCACCUUCGGGUGGGCUACUUGUGGAGGAUAGUGGUUCCAAAGUGGAGACCGGGACAGAGGAAGGUGAGACGGCAGGUUAACAGACUCGGUAGUAGUCUGGACCGGUGCUGAGGACCGCAUGAAGAUAUUACGGUCGGAGACCAAGGACCUAGAGACCGUGAUGAGAAGGUGUGAGUGAGUUGAUUGUGAGAGCUGAAGGAUGUGGCGUCCUACCCGUGUGCGAAGGAUAGAUCGAUAGGGGAAAUAGGAUUGGUUCCAGGUUGCAAGUUAUCAGAGUUAUCGCCAAUUUUGAGGCGAAGGGAGAUGGAUUAGUGACUUAGCAGAGCUCAGUGGGUUGAUAUGGUAUCUGGCAGCUCGCAGGUUGCGAUAGUAUAUCCCUGAUUUGAAGGGACGGUAUCUUCGGGUAAUACGUGGUCGAUAUGUGGUGUCAUUACGGAGGAAGGCCGAUGGUCGGCUUGGAGUAGUGGUAAGGAUGUCACGCGAGAAGUAGUCAUCAUAAGAGAGAUGUAGUAGUAGGGUUGCAGGAACCUGAGUUGAUUGAGAAAUCGGAGUUUGCAGUGCAAGGGUUUGAGCUGAAGUGUAUACUGCAGUAGGCUUCGAGGACGAAGCCUAAUUUAAGUGGGGGAGAAUUGUAACACCUCGAGUUCAAAAGUGCAAGUUUCGGGUUCUUAGUGUAAAUAAGGAACGUCGAAUCGGCGAGUCGAUGGAUAGACUCGACGAGUCAAGUCGGGAUUAUGGUCACGGGUUAAGUGACCAACUCGGCGAGUCGGCGGCUGGACUCGGCGAGUUGGUGCUGGAUUGAGAAAAACCCUAAUCCGGGGUUUGUGCCCUAUAUAAAGAACAUAAUACCUUUCCUCCAGCCUCUUUACCCUUCCUUUGAGUCCUAGAAACCCUAAUAGCCAUGAGUGGAAGCUUGGAUAAGUGAUUUAAGAAGGAAAUCUUGAAGACUAAGGAGCUUGGAUCAAGGAGGCUUGAGGAGAUUUGGUUUACUCUUCAUUUGGAGGUUGUUUUGAGGUAAGGAUUCACCAUCUUGGCUUUAUUCCUUCUAGAUCCACCUUUUUGGAGCUUUAGGGUUGUUUGGAAGAAUUUAUGUUGAGAUCUUGAUGCAUGAGUUAGAUCUGGAGUUGAAGCUCCAAAUUUG
rnacentral:lncRNA from 1 species